rfam:Bacillus sp. MRMR6 scaffold_0, whole genome shotgun sequence.
AAGACCUUUUAAAUAAGUCCAGAGAGGCUAAGAAGGGUGUAAAGGCUGAGUUCAUAAAUUUUCUUAGGAUAAAUUAUGGACAUAGUCUUAUGUAACUGCACCCUGAUCAAUCUGAUCGGGGUAUUUUUUUA